UACGUAGGGAGCAAGCGUUGUCCGGAAUCAUUGGGCGUAAAGCGCGCGUAGGUGGCCCGGUCAGUUCGUGGUGAAAGCGCGGGGCUCAACCCUGCGUCGGCCAUGAAUACUGCCGCGGCUGGAGCACUGUAGAGGCAGGCGGAAUUCCGGGUGUAGCGGUGGAAUGCGUAGAGAUCCGGAAGAACACCGGUGGCGAAGGCGGCCUGCUGGGCAGUUGCUGACACUGAGGCGCGACAGCGUGGGGAGCAAACAGG
rnacentral:rRNA from 1 species